AGACUCAAUCCCUUGGGUUUCCGAGGAGAUUGGACUUGGGUGUCUGCCUCUUCUGGCUCGCCUUAAAAGACUUAGCAGGGAUAGCGCCAUAGUCGACGUAAUAAGUUUCGUCGGUGAAGGUGUGAUGUCUGCUCACAAUCGCCCUUGGGCACUUUUGA
rnacentral:misc_RNA from 1 species